UCUUGGAGCUUAUAGGCCGGCGGCGGGACGGGCCGCAAACAAGUAAACUAACCAGCUCUUUACACGAGCGAAGAAUGCGGCGAAGGGACCGAGGUACUCGGAGAAUAGCAGAGGGCGUCUGCUUGGUUAGGGAGUGCAGGGAAGGCCUCUCCGUAAAGAGGGGACAUUGAGGUGUGACCUGAAUUUGAGACGGGGGGCGGGCGUCAGGCAGGGUUGGAGGUCAGAAAGGAAACCCCAGGCACAGCAGCUGCAGGGGUGUUCCCAGGCUCAAGUUUUGUGUUGGGUGGCGGCUGAAACCUUCCACUCGAAAACCAGGCUGUGUUUCUCCGUGACUUGUCCUGAUGCCAGACGGUCAAAGAACAUGGAUGUACACAAGAAGCUCUUCUCUUUAGGAAAUUACUCCUGGAAUUGAAUCAUACCAAGAAUUUCACCAGAGGAUUUUAUACAUUUGGGCUGUGGCAGCAGACCAAUUAAACCACAGAGCUGGUCUAGAAGUGAGAAGUCCAAGAUCAAGAGUGAGCAGAG